AUUGAACGCUGGCGGCAGGCCUAACACAUGCAAGUCGAACGAGUGGCGGACGGGUGAGUAAUGUCUGGGAAACUGCCCGAUGGAGGGGGAUAACUACUGGAAACGGUAGCUAAUACCGCAUACCUUCGGAUGGGCCCAGAGGGGAUUAGUUAGUGGGUGGGGUAACGGCUCACCUGGGCGACGAUCCCGAGCCGGUCUGAGAGGAUGACGAGCCACCCUGGAACUGAGACACGGUCCGGACUCCUACGGGAGGCAGCGGUGGGGAUUAUUGCACAAUGGGCGCAAGCCUGAUGCAGCCAUGCCGGGUGUAUGAAGAAGGCCUUGGGGUUGUAAAGUACUUUCAGCGAGGAGGCGUUACUCGCAGAAGAAGCACCGGCUAACUCCGUGCCAGCCGCCGCGGUAAUUC
rnacentral:rRNA from 1 species